CUGACCGAGCAGGAGAUUGUGCGACUUCGAUGCCUUCUAGCUCCAUCUUCCGGUUCUUCAUCGACAGGUUCUGCUAGUUCUGCUACUGACUCUUCUGGCAUUGAGAGACCACCUUCUACACAGUCAGGUAUAUCUCCGUGGAUUCUUGAUACUGGAGCAUCUUUUCAUAUGACUCAUGAUUCAUCCACUUUGUCUUCUCUUCGUACUCUCGAUUCUCCUGUUCAUGUUCUUACUGCUGAUGGUACCUCUCUCCUGGUUAAUGGUCGAGGCAUUCUUAGCACCUCAUCUUUUCAUGUUCCUGAUGUUUCUCAUGUUCCUCGACUUACCAUGCAGCUUCUUUCUGGUGGCCAGGUUGUUGACUUGGGUUGCCGGGUCAUUCUGGACUUUGUCUCUUGUUCUGUUCUGGACCGUCACACUGGUGCUCUCCUUGGUGCUGGCCCCCGGCGCCGUGACUCUCAGGGUCUCUGGGAGCUUGACUGGCUUCACCUUCCCUCCGCUGCUACCGCCGCCAGUCUCUCCACCUCUGUUGCCUUGUCUACCAGCUCUUUUCAGCAGUGGCAUCAUCGCCUUGGUCAUUUGUGUGGCUCUCGUCUCUCCUCUUUAGUUCGACGUGGCCUUCUUGGAUCCGUCUCC
rnacentral:rRNA from 1 species